rnacentral:rRNA from 1 species
AGAUCCCAAGCACCCACACAAGCUCCUAACUACACACUGAGCCACAUUAUCAAUAUAAACGAACUUAUGUUAAAACUAGUAACAAGAAAACUUCUCUUCACACCCCCGUGCGCCAGUUAUAGAAGACCUACUGGCAAUUAACAGACCAAACAACGCCAAAUAACAAACAAUGUUAAACAAACUGUCACACCAACACCGGAGUGCUACAAAGACCGAUUAAAAGCCGCAAAAGGAACUCAGCAAAACAUUGUCCCAACUGUUUACCAAAAACAUAGCCCCUGGCAACACAAGUAUCAGGGGUAUCGCCUGCCCAGUGAAAUUCUUUCAACGGCCGCGGUAUUCUAACCGUGCAAAGGUAGCGUAAUCAUUUGUCUUCUAAAUAAAGACCAGUAUGAACGGCUAAAUGAGGACAAACCUGUCUCCUGCGCCCAAUCAGUGAAACUGAUCUUCCAGUACAAAAGCUGGAAUCCCCACACAAGACGAGAAGACCCCGUGGAGCUUAAGACCAACUGCUAACAGCGCUCUGUCUGCCUAACACAAAGUCUUGAGUUGGGGCGACUUCGGAACAAAACAAAACUUCCGAGCACAGAACCAACAGUUCUCACCAAGGCCCACAAGCCAAAGAACAACAUGACCCAGUCAUACUGACCAACGGACCAAGUUACCCCGGGGAUAACAGCGCCAUCUUCUUCAAGAGCCCCUAUCGACAAGAAGGUUUACGACCUCGAUGUUGGAUCAGGACACCCCAAUGGUGUAGCCGCUAUUAAAGGUUCGUUUGUUCAACGAUUAACAGUCCUACGUGAUCUGAGUUC